rnacentral:lncRNA from 1 species
GUAAUUUGUUACAACAGUAAUAGAAAACUAAUACACCUCCUUCCCAAUGAAAAAGAUGUUUAAUAAAAGGAAAAACUAUAAACUUUUCUGGUAAAGUAAUAUGCCAAGAAAAUAAAUCCACGUGGCAUGUAUGACCUAGCAGCAGUCACUUUAGGGACCGUCUAAAAUCAUUAUUUAUUAAAAAGAAAGCAGAAUAAAUAAGCCACUUAUAUACUUUAUGAAGCACUCACUUUCAUCUUUCUGGUCUCAGAAGAUGUAUUUGUUGGAGCAUAAUAAAUUAUUACAGUGUAGCAUUACUGACAUAUAUUUUGUUGUUGUUGUCUAGCAGUUUUGAAAAUGAUUCCUACUAAUAACCAAUCCUGGCUGUGGAGACAAGUGACUCAGGAACUCUAAAGGGGAAGAUGCACUAAGCAAGGAGUGUGUGCUACCUACCUGUGCCGGCAAGCCUGUCCCCACCACCUCUGGGUGGAGAAGACUGGUCAACAGCUUUGUCUCAGCUAGAGGAUUUCUCCACUUACCAGAACACUAAACACUUGCCCACCCCUGGCCAUGGUCUAACCCACAGCUCAGCUUAUUUCCCAGCUUUUCUGGAUCACUUUGCACUUGGUUCAUUUCGGAAAAUGAUCCAGUGAUGAAAGACAUGAAGUUCGCCUAUGGUUAUUGCUACCCUCUCUGCACAAAGAGAGCACUCACCCCACCAUACUCUGAAGAACAUACCUCUCAUGCUCAGGGACGUGAUUAUAAGGGUCUGAUUAACCCACCAGGGGCUCAUACGGUUUUCAGUCAAUGUAGCCAUCCCUGGGCACUAGUCUUUCAGCUAAUCCUAUCAAAGGUUGUAGGCUGGGGGUGGGAUGAGAUUACAAAUCCAAACAUAUUUACACAGAUGUCUUUUUUAGCCCCAUACACAGCCAGGAUUGCAUUUGCAUCUUGUAACAAAAUCAUAAUUAUCACGGGC